GUGACAGACUUGUGACGGUUGCCUGCAUCCUGUCUUCAAUCUCCAUGUUUCCAAAGAGACCUAGAUGCUUCUAGCAGUUGCAUGCUUCAUAGGACCAAGGUUUCAUACCAUCUAGCUUUUAAAACUUAUUUGACAAACUUGUGAGGGAAAACAAGAUCUAGAUGCUAGCGAAGCAAAAUCCGCACACAAAGAUUUUAUUCAGGAUUAUUGUAACUGGGACAAAAGAGACCUCGGUAUAGAUUUGGGACCAACUCUGAGCAUCAAAUGGACACUUAAAAGUCAAGUGACAGAGUGGAGUUCCUCUUAGUGUCUGCACCAAUGACCUUAUCGUCUUCAUCAACAACAAUCAGCAUCUCAUCUAAACGCUCCAGCUGGUGUUUAUCGAUCCAGUCAACAGUGACAUCAGACAUGUCUGCUAGCUGUGAUCCGACCUGUGUAAAAGAGUAGCACCAUCUACUGUUUUGCUAUUUGUUAUCAGACACCUCCAAGGUCAUCACACACCUUCAUCCCUCAAUGACAAAAACCACUAUCUACGGACGCAAUAGCGUUGUUAGGUACCAACAGGGCAUGUGUGUUUCCACUUGUAUAUUUCUGUAGAGAACCUCUUGAUGACUUUCUGAGUGAGAACAUAGCCCUCAAGUUCCCUUGAGUCUUUUCAAAGAUGACCCAAAGGUAAAUCUCCACAAAAUGAAUGAAUGCCGAGGAAAA